GUGGGCGGGUCGGCCGUGGAGGGAGACUUGCUGGUCGGAGCAGCAGGAGCAAGAAGAUUGAGGCGGUUCAGGGCAAGACAAGAACAUUAGUUGGAUCCAAAGUAUUGAGAUUGCAGAGGACUCAACAAAGGGUCUGCACUUAUUCUAUAAAUUCAGUAUCAGUUGAUGCAUGAUGAUGAUCAUCCAUCGAGCAGCACAUCAUCUUGGAAAAGCAGAUGCGAAUUUCUGCUAGGUAUGCUUCGGUUGUCCCUCCCAUCAACUCUCUCAACUCCCAAACCAUUAACCCCGUCCUGGUUGUUCCUAUAUUUUCUUUUUGUUUUGUUUUUACCAAUGCACUUUUCUUGGCAUGUUUUAGUGUGUUCCUUCCUACGGCCAGCUCGACCAUUUGCUCUGCAGGGAGCUUUUUAGCUCAGAAGGAGCAAAUAAUUUGAGAAUGCAUUGGUCUUUUCUGCAAUCUGUUGUACAGGGGGAUCUUUCAUGUUUUUCUGCAGUUCUUUCUUCUCUUUGGCAAUUCAUUUGGAUUGUGUCUCUCUCAAGCUUGGGCAUAUUAGUUGUAUGGUUGACUUUUUUUAGUAGCAGGGAGUAACUAAGUAGUUCACAAGCCAAGCAUUUGUAAAC